rnacentral:rRNA from 1 species
GUCUAUGGCCAUGCUACCCUGAACAAGCUCGAUCCCGUCUGAUCUCAGAAGCUAAGCACGGUCAGGCCUGGUUAGUACUUGGAUGGGAGACCACCUAGGAAGACCAGGUGCUGUAGGCA